ACUGGCGAACGGGUGAGUAACACGUGAGCAUCUGCCCCUGACUCUGGGAUAACAGUUGGAAACAGCUGCUAAUACCGGAUACGAAGGCAUCUUGAAAGAACUUCGGUCAGGGAUGAGCUCGCGGCCUAUCAGCUAGUUGGUGAGGUAAUGGCUCACCAAGGCGUCGACGGGUAGCCGGCCUGAGAGGGUGACCGGCCACACUGGGACUGAGACACGGCCCAGACUCCUACGGGAGGCAGCAGUGGGGAAUAUUGCACAAUGGGCGCAAGCCUGAUGCAGCAACGCCGCGUGAGGGACGACGGCCUUCGGGUUGUAAACCUCUUUUAGCAGGGAAGAAGCGAAAGUGACGGUACCUGCAGAAAAAGCGCCGGCUCACUACGUGCCAGCAGCCGCGGUAAUACGUAGGGCGCAAGCGUUAUCCGGAAUUAUUGGGCGUAAAGAGCUCGUAGGCGGUUUGUCGCGUCUGCUGUGAAAACUGGAGGCUCAACCUCCAGCCUGCAGUGGGUACGGGCAGACUAGAGUGCGGUAGGGGAGAUUGGAAUUCCUGGUGUAGCGGUGGAAUGCGCAGAUAUCAGGAGGAACACCGAUGGCGAAGGCAGAUCUCUGGGCCGUAACUGACGCUGAGGAGCGAAAGGGUGGGGAGCAAACAGGCUUAGAUACCCUGGUAGUCCACCCCGA
rnacentral:rRNA from 1 species